rnacentral:rRNA from 1 species
UGCCAGCAGCCGCGGUAAUACGGAGGGUGCAAGCGUUGUUCGGAAUUAUUGGGCGUAAAGCGCGUGUAGGCGGUCUGUUAAGUCUGAUGUGAAAGCCCGGGGCUCAACCCCGGAAGUGCAUUGGAUACUGGCAGACUUGAGUACGGGAGAGGGAAGUGGAAUUCCGAGUGUAGGAGUGAAAUCCGUAGAUAUUCGGAGGAACACCGGUGGCGAAGGCGGCUUCCUGGACCGAUACUGACGCUGAGACGCGAAAGCGUGGGGAGCAAACAGGAUUAGAUA